AAGUUACUUGCUGGGAAGACAAGGAAGGGUGGACAGACAGGGACAGCCUGACUACUGGCUUCUGCCUCGGUUGCUCCUGCAAUCCUCCAGAGCUACCCUGGGCCUCUCUCCUGCCUUCCCGCUCAGCCAGGCAGUGGCCCAUCACUGGCUGUCCUGGCAGUGGGUUAGUCGGCACUGUGUUCCCUAUGUGCUGUAAAUGGUUGGCAUCUUCUCUGAGUUAUCUCCUCCAGUCCCUACAACGAUAUUGUGAGGUGAGUAUCACCAUAUUCCCAUUUUACAGAUGAGAAGACAGGGACAAGAGCUUAAGCACUUUGCCCAAGAUUACCAGCAAGUAAGCAGAAAAGCCACUGUUCCAGCACAAGCAUUUGGACCCCUGAUUCUGGUCUCUUAGUACCUUCUCUAUAUUGAUCACGGGCAGUGACUUAAACUCCCAAACCUUCCUUUCCUCGUCUGUGCAACAAGGUAAUCUCAAGCCCACAGGAUCAUUAGUGGAUCCACACACACGCGGUUCACACACACUGUUCCACACACAUACUAUUCCCUCUUUCCACACACAGCCUUGAUUGGUUUGAGGAGCCGCUCCUGCCCUCCCCAGGUUUCUUUCACGGACAGUAAAUCCACCAGAGCUUUCUCGAACCUGUUGGCAUCUGCACAGCUUCCUGUUCCUCUCUCUCCCCCAUGUCAAUGUGGCCAAGGACUCUUAUCAAGGCCUCCUACAUGCUAGGCAGGGAGGUAAAGCUUCACACACACAUACAUACACACACACACACACACA
rnacentral:lncRNA from 1 species